AAAACAGAACUUGAUUCUACAAAGGAAGAACUUCAGUCUACAAAAGACGAGGUGAGGCAAAUGAGAUUGAGGCAAGCAGAAACUGAGUUGAUACUGCGUCGUUUGUUGGAAGAGCGAGAAACACAAUCCAAUGCUUAGGGUGGAAGGGCUACAAGAACUCCAUGAUAUUGUCUUUACUUGUGAAGGUUAUUUUGCAACUAUGGUGGCUGUCUAUUAAGAAGUAUGUUGUUAGCU
rnacentral:lncRNA from 1 species